CCUACGGGUGGCAGCAGUGAGGAAUAUUGGUCAAUGGGCGGGAGCCUGAACCAGCCAAGUCGCGUGAGGGAAGACGGUCCUACGGAUUGUAAACCUCUUUUGCCGGGGAGCAACGGGGUCCUUGCGAGGGCCCGAUGAGAGUACCCGGAGAAAAAGCAUCGGCUAACUCCGUGCCAGCAGCCGCGGUAAUACGGAGGAUGCGAGCGUUAUCCGGAUUUAUUGGGUUUAAAGGGUGCGCAGGCGGAGGCACAAGUCAGCGGUAAAAUCGCGGGGCUCAACCCCGCUCCGCCGUUGAAACUGUGUCCCUUGAGUGCGCGAAGGGUAGGCGGAAUGCGUGGUGUAGCGGUGAAAUGCAUAGAUAUCACGCAGAACUCCGAUCGCGAAGGCAGCCUACCGGCGCGCAACUGACGCUCAUGCACGAAAGCGUGGGUAUCGAACAGGAUUAGAUACCCUGGUAGUC
rnacentral:rRNA from 1 species